rnacentral:rRNA from 1 species
UACGUAGGGGGCGAGCGUUGUCCGGAAUCAUUGGGCGCAAAGAGCGUGUAGGCGGCUUGGCAAGUCUGACGUGAAAGCCCGCGGCUCAACCGCGGAUUGUCGUUGGAAACUGCCUCGCUAGAGUCCGGAAGAGGAGAGCGGAAUUCCUGGUGUAGCGGUGGAAUGCGCAGAUAUCAGGAAGAACACCCGUGGCGAAGGCGGCUCUCUGGGACGGUACUGACGCUGAGACGCGAAAGCGUGGGGAGCGAACAGG